rnacentral:rRNA from 1 species
UGAAUACGAGACGCUAAGGCGUCGAAGUAGUGUAUGUCAUACUUCCAAGAAAAGCUUGCACUGUCAUAGAUAAAAAACGCCUGUACCAUAACCGACACAGGUGGGUAGGUAGAGUAUACUAAGGGGCGCGAGAUAACUCUCCCUAAGGAACUCGGCAAAAUAACUCCGUAACUUCGGGAGAAGGAGUGCCUUAUUCGUAAGGUUGCAAUAACAAGAUCCAAGCAACUGUUUAUCAAAAACACAGGUCUCCGCUAAGUCGUAAGACGAUGUAUGGGGGCUGACGCCUGCCCAGUGCCAGAAGGUUAAAGAAGUUGGUUAGCAAUUGCGAAGCUGAUAACUGAAGCCCUGGUGAACGGCGGCCGUAACGAUAACGGUCCUAAGGUAGCGAAAUUCCUUGUCGGGUAAGUUCCGACCCGCACGAAAGGCGUAAUGAUUUGGAUACUGUCUCGGAGAGGGGCUCGGUGAAAUAGACUUGUCUGUGAAGAUGCGGACUACCUGCACCAGGACAGAAAGACCCUAUGAAGCUUUACUGUAACUUGAAAUUGAAAUUGGACUUUAUUCGCGCAGUAUAGGUGGGAGGCGUUGAUUAUAAUCUUGUGGGAUUAUUGGAGCCAUCAGUGAGAUACCACUCUUGUAAUGUUAGAUUUCUAACUUUGAAUCAUUAUCUGGUCAAAGAACAGUUUCAGGCGGGCAGUUUGACUGGGGCGGUCGCCUCCUAAACGGUAACGGAGGCGUACAAAGGUUUCCUCUGAACGGUUAGAAAUCGUAUCUAGAGUGUAAAGGCAUAAGGAAGCUUGACUGUGUGACCUACAAGUCGAGCAGGGACGAAAGUCGGUCUUAGUGAUCUGACGGUACUGAGUGGAAAGGCCGUCACUCAACGGAUAAAAGUUACUCUAGGAUAACAGGCUGAUCUCCCCCAAGAGUUCACAUCGACGGGGAGGUUUGGCACCUCGAUGUCGGCUCAUCGCAUCCUGGGGCGGUAGUACGUCCCAAGGGUUGGGCUGUUCGCCCAUGAAAGCGGUACGCGAGCUGGGUUCAGAACGUCGUGAGACAGUUCGGUCCAUAUCCGGUGUAGGCGUUAGAAUAUUGAGAGGAGCCUUCUUUAGUACGAGAGGACCGAGAAGGACAUACCUCUGGUGUACCAGUUAUCGUGCCAACGGUAAACGCUGGGUAGCUAUGUAUGGAGUGGAUAACCGCUGAAAGCAUCUAAGUGGGAAGCCCCCCUCAAGAUAAGUAUUCUCA